UAUACAUGUUUCAUGACGGCCCAUAUUCGACGGAUCCGCUUCCUCUGCAAGUCGCUGGUGAUACGUGCCGCAUCUGCGUUAGCGCAACCGAACGAGCCUCAGGAUCAGGGGAUCAGGGGUUUAGGUGUUUGUGCGGCGUCUGUGCGCCCCAGGAACCGCAUGUGUACCUGUGCUGCAGUGCUGUUGGCAAAGUGGCAGAGUUGUGCAUUGACAGCUGGCUGUGUAUCAAGCAGCACGCUCUGUUCUAAGAUAUCUGCCACCGGUCAGAACUUCUGGUGGUGUGUGCAACUCAGUAUUGCCGUGACGAUCACCGGCUUCGCCUACUGAACCCACGAGAGAAUAGCUGCCUCAGGUUCACCACUUAUUGUGUGUUUACAAGCUGGGUUUGGGGCUACCUUGAACCCAGGAACAGACGACAGAUACCCGGGUGUGUGGUCCACAUGAAUCACCAACGUUUUCCAUCCCAGUCCUAUCAAGGCAUCAUUAUCAUAUAUUAUAAUUAUUAUUGUACCACAAUUCCUGUACACACCUAUGACAUAAUAAAUUUGUGCUAU